UACAGAGGGGGCAAGCGUUGUUCGGAAUUACUGGGCGUAAAGGGCGCGUAGGCGGCCCGCUAAGUCGAACGUGAAAUCCCCGGGCUCAACCCGGGAACUGCGUCCGAUACUGGAAGGCUUGAAUCCGGGAGAGGGAUGUGGAAUUCCAGGUGUAGCGGUGAAAUGCGUAGAUAUCUGGAGGAACACCGGUGGCGAAGGCGACAUCCUGGACCGGUAUUGACGCUGAGGCGCGAAAGCCAGGGGAGCAAACGGG
rnacentral:rRNA from 1 species